UAAACUGACACAAAGACAUUUGAAUAUGUGUAUUCGAUCCUCCUUCCGCACAUUUGUAAUGUAAACAGUGGCUGCGUCCGAAACCGCCUACUUCUCUACUAUUUAGUAGGGGAAAAGCAGUAGGCGAGCGAUUAAGUAUGUCAGAAGCAAAAAGAGUAGGCGAAAAUUACCUAGGUGACGUAAUAAUUCUCGCGAGAUUCGGCUGUGCGCCUACUUAAAGUGCGUCCGAAACCGCCUACUUACCUACUAUAUAAAAGGGGAAAAGCAGUAGGCGAGCGAAUAAGUAUGUCAGAAACCUCAGUAAUCAUAAAUGAGUAGUCGAGGAGCUCCCGGAUGGCCUACUACUUCCGCCCAGAUUCUGAAGUGUUCCUCGCUGGAUACUUUUCUAUCCCAGGAGGCCACGGGAGAGGAUACGUCAUAAUCAAACACUUGAGAAAAGCGACGCGGAUGCUGUUCAAAUGUGAGUAUUGAAAACCAAAAACACAUGUGUUGAACUACUGUAGAGUAAACUGCUGAAUGUGUGAAGAUGCUAGACACUAUAGUUGUGACUUUACUGUAAAACACGAUUUAUUAUGUAUUAUGUAGAUAACAGGAUCUCUAGUAAACACACAUAACUUAAUUCUCCGAAGUGGAAUUACAUAUUCUAAACCAUAUACAUCUUAAAGAUGCUUAUUAAAUGUUUAUUUAACCUCUGACAGGAACAUAUUUAAGUAUUAUGACUUAUGAGUGAUGGAUUAUGUAUUAUGAGUGAUGUGUGUGUGCUAUUAUUCACUGUUGUCAACACUGCUUACAUUACAUGAAUGAAAAUAAUGUAAAUAAAUAAAUCUACAGUAACUACACAUAAGUUUAAUCUAUUUUAUUUGUCCAUUAGUACUGUUAAUACAUUAAGGAACAUUUGUGUUGGAUAAGAAGUGAGUUAACACAUCAUCAACAUGUGAAUGUAGAUUUGAGCACAUAAAUCUCAGAGGAAACUUGAAUCUUGUCUGAUGUUACAGGGACAGAUGAGCACACGUGUGUUUAUCCGGUAGAGGAAUGAUGCCAUCAAAAGCUUUGAAGCUUUUGUGGAGCAGGACCUGCAAGGAAAGCUGACGACGGCAUUUGUUAGAAAUAAAGAGGAAAGCCUGAAACAAAAUAUAAAGAUGUGAAUGUCCUCAGACUGGUGUGAGCACUGAGGAUGGAGAGCCACAGCAGAUCCUGGGAAUGGUUCAGUGUUAUGGACGAGAUCCUCCAUCACUCCUCCUUUCAAGUGACUCAAUCAAGGACACACUGAAGGAGACGCUGCACAGAUAAAACCAGCAAACCUUCUGCUGACCAGCUCAGUGGUUUAGCCCACCACACCACAAAUCAUCCAGAUUGUCCCGCACAUCUUCUCCCACUCCUGCUUCAAGGUUGAGGGGUUCAGGGGUUCAUCAUCAUCAUUUUCCUCAUCCUCUGGAUCAACACUGUCCCCAUUGAGAAGAACAGCAGUAAGGGACAUGAUGAUGAAGGUGUUCAUCAGCUGCUUGAUCAGAAUAAAGCUGCAGAAUUGGCACAGCAGUGUGAGAUGACAACAGGACUGUAAAUACCUGAUUGUUAGAUCAAUACAUUUGAAUAAAGCUUUGUUUCGUGUGUUGUUGUCUUGUAUAUGUAUUUAUUUAUUGUCAUUAUUACUUGUAUUAUUUCACUUUUUUUUUUAUUAAUUAUGCUAUUAUUAUCAUUUAAAUGUAUAUAUUUUAUUAAGCAAUGAAUUAAUGCAUGAAUUGACUGUAAAUUGAGAUAUAUUCACAUCAGCUGUAUUUGUCUAAUGUGUGUUCAUGCACAGCUGUGUCAUAUGACAAAACAUUACAUUUUGCUUGUUUUACUAAAGAAGUAAAAUGAAAAGUUAUAUAAUUAAUUUUUGGUCAGCAUUUAUCAUUGUUAUUGUGUAUAAGUGUUGGGAUGUGCUAGCAGAGCAAUUCAAUCUGGAGUAAUCUUAAUUUUAAGUAGUUAUACUUAAAUUUUUUGAGUAUAAAAUCGGUCUUCUCCAAAGGCGAGAUCUUUGAGCAGCUGCUGAUGUCUUCUUUGGCUUCAGACAUUGCUAACACUGAGGAAAACUGCUCUAGGUAGGGUUGAGUUACUGGUGCUGUGCGGUGUUAGUGCACCUGUUCACUCAUAUCUUUAUUUUUAUUGCAGGAUCUACAAUUACAAGAUCAGGGAAAAUACCAUGGUUGUAUCUUUAACAAUGAACAAUAAUAAUGACAAAAAAAUAUGGGUUUGUAUACAUGAUAGUUUGAGAUUAUAUACACAGACAUAAAACAUGACAAGAUUAAAUAUUUUGAAUACAUCAUAGUGCAUAAAAGUUAUUUAUUUGUUUAUAAUUUAUAAGCAUGAGGGAUGAAACUAAAGCUAAUUCAACAAGAAAAAGAGGAAAACAAAUGAGAUUUAUGCCACUUUUGCUUGUGGAUUGACAUUUUUGCAUAUAAAAUAAAGAAAUUAACAAUAUAUUCACGUGAAUUUGGGUUUUUGUAACAAAAAAUAAACACAUCAGUAGUUAAAAAUAUAAGAACUUUAAAUUAACCCAAAUAUAUAUUAGUUGUACUAGAAUUACAAAAUUACUGGCAGCUGUUUCUUCAACAAGACCACAAAAUAAAAAAGUUUGAUCAAUAUCAAGAUAUUUACAGAUAUUACAGAAGAAUUAAACAUGUCACUCAUGUUUUCAGUUGUUGCGCUUGCGAUAACGUCGUAGGUCACAUGAUAACGUCAACAUGGCGGUUUAUUCUCGGAUCUCAUUCAUACUCAACGAGAUUUGGCUAUUAAGUACCUACUCUUUUAGCCCUCGUUAAGUAAGUACUUAUUGAAAUUAAGUACCUACUCAUUGAGUAGGCGGUUUCGGACGCAGCCAGUGACUCGAUACUUCCGCCUACGUCAA